GGGUGAGUAACACGUGAGCAACCUGCCUAUCAGAGGGGGAUAACGAUUGGAAACGAUCGCUAAUACCGCAUGACAUAGCGGAAUCGCAUGGUCCUGUUAUCAAAGAUUUUAUCGCUGAUAGAUGGGCUCGCGUCCGAUUAGAUAGUUGGUGGGGUAACGGCCUACCAAGUCGACGAUCGGUAGCCGGACUGAGAGGUCGAACGGCCACAUUGGGACUGAGACACGGCCCAGACUCCUACGGGAGGCAGCAGUGGGGGAUAUUGCACAAUGGGGGAAACCCUGAUGCAGCGACGCCGCGUGAGGGAAGACGGUCCUCUGGAUUGUAAACCUCUGUCUUCGGGGACGAAACGAGACGGUACCCGAGGAGGAAGCCACGGCUAACUACGUGCCAGCAGCCGCGGUAAUACGUAGGUGGCAAGCGUUGUCCGGAAUUACUGGGUGUAAAGGGAGCGUAGGCGGGCAGGCAAGUCAGGCGUGAAAUAUAUCGGCUCAACCGGUAACGGCGCUUGAAACUGCAGGUCUUGAGUGAAGUAGAGGUUGGCGGAAUUCCUAGUGUAGCGGUGAAAUGCGUAGAUAUUAGGAGGAACACCAGUGGCGAAGGCGGCCAACUGGGCUUUUACUGACGCUGAGGCUCGAAAGUGUGGGGAGCAAACAGGAUUAGAUACCCUGGUAGUCCACACCGUAAACGAUGAUUACUAGGUGUGGGGGGACU
rnacentral:rRNA from 1 species